rnacentral:rRNA from 1 species
AGCCCUGAAAAUGGAUGGCGCUUAAGCGUGUUACCCAUACCUCGCCGUCAGGGUAGAAACGAUGCCCUGACGAGUAGGCAGGCGUGGAGGUCCGUGACGAAGCCUUGGGGGUGACCCCGGGUCGAACGGCCUCUAGUGCAGAUCUUGGUGGUAGUAGCAAAUACUCAAAUGAGAACUUUGAGGACUGAAGUGGGGAAAGGUUCCGUGUGAACAGCAGUUGGACACGGGUUAGUCGAUCCUAAGAGAUAGGGAAACUCCGUUUUAAUGUGGGCGCUUGCGCCCCACCCUCGAAAGGGAAGCCGGUUAACAUUCCGGCACCUGGAUGUAGAUUCUCCGCGGCAACGCAACUGAGAGCGGAGACCUUGGCGGGAGCCCCAAGAAGAGUUCUCUUUUCUUCUUAACAGUCUGUCACCCUGAAAUCGGUUUGUCCGGAGCUAGGGUUCAAUGGCUGGAAGAGCGCUGCACUUUUGCGGCGUUUGGUGCGCUCCCGACGAGCCUUGAAAAUCCGCUUGAAGAAAUAGUUUUUACGCCAGGUCGUACUCAUAACCGCAGCAGGUCUCCAAGGUGAAAAGCCUCUAGUUGAUAGAACAAUGUAGAAUAG